rnacentral:tRNA from 1 species
UCGCAGGUGACUGAGAAUAUUAAGUGUUAGAUUUUUAAUCUAAAUACGGCAUUAAAAAUUUAUGCCCCUGAGAA